rnacentral:rRNA from 1 species
GACGAACGCUGGCGGCGUGCUUAACACAUGCAAGUCGAACGGAAAGGCCCUGCUUUUGUGGGGUGCUCGAGUGGCGAACGGGUGAGUAACACGUGAGUAACCUGCCCUUGACUUUGGGAUAACUUCAGGAAACUGGGGCUAAUACCGGAUAGGAGCUCCUGCUGCAUGGUGGGGGUUGGAAAGUUUCGGCGGUUGGGGAUGGACUCGCGGCUUAUCAGCUUGUUGGUGGGGUAGUGGCUUACCAAGGCUUUGACGGGUAGCCGGCCUGAGAGGGUGACCGGGCACAUUGGGACUGAGAUACGGACCAGACUCCUACUGGAGGCAGCAGUGGGGAAUAUUGCACAAUGGGCGGAAGCCUGAUGCAGCAGCGCCGCGUGCGGGAUGACGGCCUUCGGGUUGUAAACCGCUUUCGCCUGUGACGAAGCGUGAGUGACGGUAAUGGGUAAAGAAGCACCGGCUAACUACGUG